AUCGUAAAGAAGGGGGAAAACGUGGCGCCCAGCAGAAAAAAACUGGAACACCCGGUCUAUGAUGAGAUGAAUCCAAUGUAGAAGGAUUCAAAAGGGGGCUCAAUUUCUCUUGACAUUCUCGUUCUCUGCUCGUGAAGUUUGU
ensembl:ncRNA T04C9.11 ncRNA